AUGGCGGCCGAACCGGACAAGGACAACCUAAACCAAGAACCGGUUGAGUCCAGCGCCGCCGCGUCCUCCUCGCCCUCCGCCAAUGGGGAGCCGCGCACUGCGUCCUGCUCCUCGCCCUCCGCCAGUGGGGCGCCCCGCGCCGCGGCAGCCGAUGCCGGAGAGGAUGAGCUCUCCUCUCGGCCACCUCCCGCUACCCUGCGCGUCGGAAGCUGCACCACCCUGCUGCAAAUCCGCGAGAAGCCCGGAGACGGAGACGGAAGCAGCGGUGGCACGGGCGGGCCGAGCUCCGCGGCGGCGGCGGCUGCGUACCAAAAGGGCAAGAAUCUCGCAAUUUACUCCCCGCCACACCCCUGUUCGAGCUCUGGCAGCAGUUCUUCCUGCGGGGCCGAGGUCGACUCAUCUGUCUCCAGGAACGCAGUUAGUCGAUGGGAGGAUACAGAGAAGCAGAGUUUUGGAAGAAAAGAAAGGAGGAUAACUGGUGCAUAUGUGAAUUGGCAGACGAUUCCAAUGAAUGAAGCUCUUGAGCAUUAUUACAGUGAUCCAGUUGAUCAGUCUAUGUCAGGACAGGGUUAUUUGAAUGUGAUGAACCUUCAGGAGGCCUACUCAGAAUUUAGGCCAGUCCGUGGAGAUGGAGAUUGUUUCUACAGGAGCUUCAUAUUUUCCUACCUUGAGCAAGUUCUUGAUAGGCAGGAUACAUGUGAGGAGGACCGUGUCCUUGAUGUCAUUGAAAGAGUAGCUAGUAGAUAUGCACAUCUGACAUGGACCUCCAGAUUUUCUGUGAGCCGCAAAGCAUUUGAGAAGCUGAUAAAAAACGUAAUGAAAUGGAAGAGACAGAGGGAUACCUCAGCGUCAAGUAGCAGAUUAGUAGCAGCUGUCUGGAUAUGCUCGCACAGUGACUACUUCGAGCCUUUAAUAGCUGAUCUGGGAGAAACUUAUAAUCUGCAAGAUUGGUGCUUUCAAAAUGUCAUUCCAUGUGGUGAGUGGGCAGAUCAUCUUGCAGUAAUGGCUUUGGCAACAGCCCUAGAGAUACCACUAAGAGUGAAGCAUCUGAAUGGUGGACCUGCUCAAGAUAUCUACACUGGUCAGGGAGUUCCUGCUGUUCAUGUGAUCUUGUUAUUAUACUCGGGGAAUUAUCAUGACAUCAUCUAUCCAGUCCGUUCAUCUUCUGAGACACUGUCAGUGCCCGGCACAACAAGUGAUUCCCAGUGCCAGUCCUACGAGGAAGUCGGGACAGCAUUGCUGCCCAGCGCGGCACGAGGCCUCACAUGCCAGGCGCUGCCAGGCACAGCAGGCGCUGUCCCGAUGCUAAUCCGCACAGUCUGGCAUGAAAAUUCUGAGGAAGAGCUGGAGGGGCUUCGGCUACUUCUGCAACAGGGAAGUGUCACAGUUGCACUGGACAUGGAAUUUAUGAGUACAGCAGGGAACCAAGUUCGCCCAGGAACAAUGACUAAGUGUAAAGCCCUCCCCAUGGGACAUGCCAAUCUUCUGGAAAUCGAGGUUUGGCGUGACAAUUUUGAUGGAGAAGCAUCUGUUAUUGCACAAGCAGUGCAAAGCAACUACUAUAUUGUGGGAGUAGAUGUUUGCUUUAGUCCAGCACUAGGUCACAGGCUCUUCCAUGAACAUUUGCAAGGUUGUUUUGAGCUCAUGGUUGAGGCACUCACUGCUGUGGGACACUAUGAAAUCUCGCUAGCUCUUGUCAGCUACACUGGGCAACUUCCAAAGGGAAGGUGGUGGAGAUUCCACGUAUCUGAGUGCAUUAACACUGAUGCCGCCCGGUACAUUCACUUUCCAAGAUUUGUUGAACUCCUUCACAGAUGCAGCCUGAUUAAUGAUGAAAGAAUAAUAUGGGCCACCUAUGAGGGAGCAGAAUGCAUUGCAAGCCUCUGUCGUAUGGUGCAGCGCAGAGGCACCCAAACAGGUAUACCAUUGACAGUGUGUGGGUACCUACAGUGUCGGAGCUCCAUAUUCCCUUCACUAUAUGAUAUUGGUCUGCUGGUGUCUCGGGAAAAAGGAAAUGCUUUGGCUGACAUUGCUCGUCGAUUGGGCUUGUCUGUCCCUGGCAACCAGUCUGGCUGGAAUGCUGUUUUGAGUGCGCAGGUUAUGGUUCGGCUGAGAGAACAGUUGGAGGAGUUGGAUGCCCUUCUCCUGGCCUAUAAAGAUCACCACGGGAAACUGUUAGCCAGAUGA
rnacentral:rRNA from 1 species